ACAGCACAACCCUACCCUAAUUUGCCUGCUUCUCUGUCUCGGGGUCUUUUUCGUUUUCUGUGGCGCACAAGCCUUUUUCCAUUUUGUCUCUUGAAUAUUUAAUUUUACUUCUCUCUAGAUCGAAACAUAUUGGAUGAGUUGAUCCAUUAUAUUUGUUUGGACAGAGAAAUCAGGGUUAUGAGAUGAGUUUGAGAUCAGAGACGAUUUCACCUCUCUUUCUACCGUGUUUCUCUGUCCAACUAGAUAAAUUGGAUCUUGAAUUUUUCCGAUCUCAACCUCUGGUUUUUCUUCAACAGAUUUAGCUGAUUUCUUAAGCCUUCUCAAUCAGAAUCAGGGGAGAUAUUACCGACUCGUGUUUAAAAUAGUGAAGAUAUUGAGAAAUGUAUGGAGAUUGCAUUAUUCAUGAACCAUGAUGAAAUUGGACCCACAACUGAAGAAAAGAUUUAUUUAAUCUUAUCA